UACGAAGGGGGCUAGCGUUGUUCGGAAUUACUGGGCGUAAGGCGUCUGUAGGUGGCUUUUUAAGUCCGCCGUCAAAUCCCAGGGCUCAACCCUGGACAGGCGGUGGAAACUACCAAGCCUGGAGUACGGUAGGGGCAGAGGGAAUUUCCGGUGGAGCGGUGAAAUGCGUAGAGAUCGGAAAGAACACCAACGGCGCAGGCAGCGUCCUGGCCGCUUGCUG
rnacentral:rRNA from 1 species